GCGCAGCCCCGCGCCAGCUGCCGCCGCCGCCCCGCCCGCCCGCCGCGCACGGCACAGGCUCGCCCCGCCGGCGCGAUGGCCACCUGAUCGCCACCUAAUCGUCGCCGCCGCCGCAACUUUUCCUCCCUGCGCCGCGCCGCUGCUUCCCCCGUCGCUCCGGUGGAAGAUGGCAGUUGGGGGAAGCGCUAGAAGUUGCAGCCCGCGAGCGAAGAGAUAAGGCGGAGGAGCGGGAAGAUUCACCUCACUUCUGGAAGAAUCUCAAAAUCUGAACAACUUCUGCCACAGUUUGCUUUACUCUCUAACAAGAUACCAUUCUAUUAAGAACAAUGAGCUCCACAACACCAGAUGGGGUUUCUGGACGUGAACAGCUCUUGGCUCAGCAAAGAAUGCACAGUAUGAUCAGCUCAGCCUCAAGAAAACCUCAUGGCUGCAGUGUCGCUGUUAAUUUACAUUUACAUUUCAU
rnacentral:lncRNA from 1 species